rnacentral:lncRNA from 1 species
GCCUGGUGACGGGCUCAUGCCAAGGUCAUGUGGUGGCUUCCGGGUGGAAUUUAAGUCUCUUGACUCCCAGCCUAGUGCUCCUGCUAGCAUGCCACACUCGGGUGUUGUUUGUCAGUGCGUAUCCUCUUCGGAGGAAAUACGUUUUGAGGUUGGUAAAAUGAAUUUUGUUGAAAAAUAGCAUCUUAACGUAGUUUUUCAUAGUUAUCUGGAGAACUUCAAGGCCACUGUGACUUUUCCAUGAAUUAUUUCACGUACAUCUUCCUGCACCUAUCAACAAAAAGACCGUGAGAAACCCACGGUUCCCCAUUUGUAAAAUAAGGGAAUUAAACUAGGCGAAUCUAGACUUUCUGGGUCAGUAUUUUGGCUUCUCCAGAAUCCGCUUGACUUUGAAGUAUCAAACCUAGAUGUAUUGGACAUAACAUAAUAGCCUUAAGUGCCCUACGUUAUAGUGAAAAGUAAAUAGGUGAUUUAUUAGAUUUUAAAACGUAUUUUAAUUACAUAGAUAAUGAAGAAUAUAUUUUCCUUAGUUAAAAAAAAAAAAAAAACAGACAAAGACUGAAGUCCACUCUGACACUCCUGCCCCAUUCCACCAGGAGGGACAUUCCCUCCUGUCCCACCCCAGAGGCUGUUAUUGAUUGAGGAUAUAUAGAGGCCUUUUAAACAUACAUUUAUAGGCCAGGCGCAGUGGCUCAUGCCUGUAAUCUUAGUACUCUGGGAGGCUGAGGCGUGUGGAUCACCUGAGGUCAGGAGUUCGAGACCAGCCUGGCCAACAGGGUGAAACCCUGUCUGUACUAAAAAUACAAAAAUUUGAGCGUGGUGGUGCGUGCCUGUAAUCCCAGCUACCUGGGAGGCUGGAACCCAGGAGGUGGAGGCUUCAGGAAGCCAAGAUGGUGCCACUGCACUGCAGCUUGGGUGACAGAGUGAGACUGUCUCAAAAAAAAAAAAACAUUUAUAGCAAAUAUAUAUAUAUUUAUUUCCCUAAAAUUUCUAUAACAUUAUUAAUUUUUUUUCAAGACAGGGUCUCACUCUUCACCCAGGCUGGAGUGCAGUGGCAUGAUCUCGGCUCACCGCAACCUCCACCUCCGGGGUUCAAAGUAUUCUCCUGCCUCGGCCUCCUGAGUAGCUGGGAUUACAGGUGCCACCACCCAUGGCUGAUUUUUGUAUUUUUUAGUAGAGACAGGGUUUCACCAUGUUGGCCAGGCUGAUCUCGAACUCCUGACCUCAAGUGAUCUGCCCAUCUGGGCUUCCCGAAGUGCUGGGAUUACAGGCGUGAGCCACUUCACCUCGGUUAACAUUAUUUUAAAUGUUGCUUUAUUGAACAUAAUUUGUUUCCCAAACUUAUGUUUUAAUACAAUCUGUUUUGCAUCUUGUUGUUUCACUCAACAGGCUGUCUUAGAGCCUUCUUUCUUUUUGGGGGGCUGUUUGAAGGUUUGCUCCUCAUUUCCCAUCUCCCUCCCAAACUCCCCCGGGUACAUCUGAAACACAACCUCCUCCCACUUUUUGAAAUAUCUCCCUUUUGCUACCUGUUUAUUCUCCAAAGCCCUCUCUGCCCCUCUCCUUUGGUGGGAAUCGGUCACUCCCUCCAUGAUCCCCUCAACCUAUGCUUGUAUCUGUUGUGGCUUGGGUUUCACUUACUGUCUUUGUUAUCACAUGGCCUCUGCCCUUUGUUAGAUUUAUUAGUUUCCACAUCUGUCUCAUCUACCAGACUAUCUCUAGAAAGACAGAGACCUCCUUUAUGCCUAUUGGUCUGCCCUGCACAUAGCAGGUGUUCAGUAAAAGCUGGUUGACCUGCCUGAGGUGGGGCAUGUGAGCUGGUUUAAGGCAAGUGCUGCAUGAAGGUGAGGCUAGAGAGAAGGCAGAGUCACUGCAGACCUGCAUGUGGCCCGGAUCUCUGUGCAGGGGGAGCUGCUCCCUCAGAGCCCACCCACCCCCCGCCACUGUCCCCAUCCCCGACACACUCUUUUCAUUAGGGAGAAUCCAGGCUGUGUCUUCAUUUGUACAGCACGGUCUGUGGCUGAAAUGAAAUCUGAAAAACAGCUUCCCACAAUGCUUCUACCCUUGUUAAAAAUAAACCAACUCUAUCUACAAGGGUUUGUUUUUUUAAAAAAUAAAGAAAAUAUCCACAUCCCUUCCCGGCCCGCCUCGGAACUGAAAUCCGAUGCAAAGACUUAAUCUUUAACUGAAAGGAAGGGUGAAGCAUAAGCAAAUCAUGGAAACGCUCCUUUCUAAUCGUCCUAACAAAGUCCAUCCCCCAGCAGGUGCCCGCUCAGGUGUCUGUUAUUCGGGGUCGAUGAGCAGGAUUGGAGGCUGGGGGCAGGAGUGCUAGCUCCGAUAUUAGCAUAAUAUAAAAACUACACAGCACUACGUUGUUCUGCAUAAAACAGUUGCUUUCAUGACAUUUAUUUUAUAUGUCAGGUAACAAUUAAUUUUUAGACUAACAAAUAAAUAUAAAUAGGGAAUAAGGAAAAGAUUAUGAGACAACGUCCAUAGCUCAUACUUCAUGUGUCAGAUAAUGGUAAGUGUUUAGACUUACAAAUCUAAAUAAGGAUUAAGGGAAAUUAUUACAGAAAAAUUUCCAUAGUGGUUCACUCCUUGGAUCCUGAAGCAAGUUACUAAGGAAGAGACUGAUUCAAAGGACACAUAUUAAUCUAUGGGUUUUUUGGCCAGGUGUGGGUGGCUCACACCUGUAAUCCCAGCACUUUGGGAGGCCUCUGGCAGAUCACUUGAGGUCAGGAGUUUGAGGCCAGCCUGGUGAAACCCUGUCUUUACUAAAAUACAAAAAUUAGCUGUGCGUAGUGGUGGGUGCCUGUAAUCCCAGCUACUCGAGAGGCUGAGGCAGGAGAAUCGCUUGAACUCGGGAGGUGGAGGUUGCAGUGAGUCAAGAUGGUGCCACUGCACUC